UACGAGCGGCCCAAACGUUAUUCGGAAUUACUGGGCUUAAAGAGUCCGUAGGCGGCGCAGCAAGUAGGGUGUGAAAGCCCUCGGCUUAACCGAGGAAUUGCGCUCUAAACUACUGUGCUUGAGGAACCUAGAGGUGAGCGGAACUGAUGGUGGAGCGGUGAAAUGCGUUGAUAUCAGCAGGAACACCGGAGGCGAAGGCGGCUCACUGGGGGUUAUCUGACGCUGAGGGACGAAAGCCAGGGGAGCGAACGGG
rnacentral:rRNA from 1 species